rnacentral:snoRNA from 2 species
CGCCUCUCAGGACCGCACCUGGAGAGUUUCCAGGACUCUACUAGUCUCGACUACGGAAGGGGGGUGUCAAGCAGAGGCAUACCCAUUCCAUUCCUAGCUUGGGCAAUGGCUAGCGAGUGGAAGGCAAUCCGCUACAAGU